GAUGAACGCUGGCGGCGUGCCUAAUACAUGCAAGUUGAACGAAACUUCUUUAUAACCGAGUGAUUGCACUCACCGAUAAAGAGUUGAGUGGCGAACGGGGGAGUACACUGUGGGCAACGGCCCAAAAGAUGGGGAUAAGACGUGGGAAACAGGGACAAUUCCGCAAAACCAUUGUUAACGGAAUGUUACUAUUGAAAAAGGUGAUAGACUUCCGGCUUUUGGUUGGCCCGCGGCGCAUUUGCCUGUUGGUAGGGUAAAGGCUUACCAAGGCAAUUGAGGGUAGCCGAAUUGAGAGGUUGAUCGGCCACAUUGGGACUGAGACACGGCCCAAACUCCUACGGGAGGCAGCAGUAGGGAAUCUUCCACAAUGGGCGAAAUCCUGAUGAAGCAACGCCGCGUAGGUGAAGAAGUUCUUCGGAUCGUAAAACCCUGUUGUUAGAGAAGAAAGUGCGUUAGAGUAACUGUUCACGUUUCGACGGUAUCUAACCAGAAAGCCACUGCUAACUACGUG
rnacentral:rRNA from 1 species